rnacentral:pre_miRNA from 1 species
ACCAAGUUUCAGUUCAUGUAAACAUCCUACACUCAGCUGUAAUACAUGAAUUGGCUGGGAGGUGGAUGUUUGCUUCAACUGACUUGGA